rnacentral:rRNA from 1 species
AGAGUUUGAUUCUGGCUCAGAACGAACGCUGGCAGCGUGGAUCAGGCAUGCAAGUCGAACGUGAAGCUGUUGAUCAAUUCUUCGGAAGAGUGAUUCAGUGGAAAGUGGCGAAAGGGUGAGUAACGCGUGGGUAACCUACCCUGAAGUUGGGGACAACUCUUCGAAAGGGGAGCUAAUACCGAAUGUGGUCCCCCCCCGCAUGUGGGGGAGACUAAAGGUGGAAUCCUUCGGGAUCUGCCGCUUCUGGAGGGGCCCGCGUGACAUCAGCUUGUUGGUGAGGUAAUGGCUCACCAAGGCUUACGUCUAGCUGGUCUGAGAGGAUGGUCAGCCACACUGGGACUGAGACACUGCCCAGACUCCUACGGGAGGCCGCAGUCGAGAAUCAUUCACAAUGCGCGAAAGCGUGAUGAUGCGACGCUGCGUGGAGGAUGAAGGCCCUAGGGUUGUAAACUCCUGUCAUGAGGGAAAAACCGCACGGAUGUAAAUAGCGUCUGUGUUUGAUGGUACCUCAAGAGGAAGCCACGGCUAACUCUGUGCCAGCAGCCGCGGUGAUACAGAGGUGGCGAGCGUUGUUCGGAUUUACUGGGCGUAAAGCGUACGUAGGUGGUUUCGUGUGUCGGGUGUGAAAGCCCACGGCCCAACCGUGGAAUUGCACUCGAAACUGCGGGACUUGAGUGCAGGCGGAGAGCGGAAUUCAGGGUGUAGCGGUGAAAUGCGUUGAUAUCCUGAAGAACACCGGUGGCGAAGGCGGCUCUCUGGAAUGUUACUGACACUGAGGUACGAAAGCGUGGGGAGCGAACAGGAUUAGAUACCCUGGUAGUCCACGCCGUAAACGUUGUGCACUUGGUGUGGGCGGUAUUGACCCCGUCCGUGCCGGAGCUAACGCGUUAAGUGCACCGCCUGGGGAGUACGGCCGCAAGGCUAAAACUCAAAGAAAUUGACGGGGGCCCGCACAAGCGGAGGAGCAUGUGGCUCAAUUCGAUGCAACGCGAAGAACCUUACCUGGACUUGACAUGUAACUGCAUGCCCCGGGAAACCGGGGAGGCCUUCGAGGGUGUUACACAGUGCUGCAUGGCUGUCGUCAGUUCGUGCCGUGAGGUGUUGGGUUAAGUCCCGCAACGAACGCAACCCUUGUGUUUAGUUGCCACCGGUGGUGAUGAGCCACCGAGCACUCUAAACAGACUGCCUGUACAAGCAGGAGGAAGGUGGGGAUGACGUCAAGUCAGUAUGGCCCUUAUGUCCAGGGCUGCACACGUGCUACAAUGGCCGGUACAAUGGGAAGCAAUACCGCGAGGUGGAGCAAAUCCUCAACACCGGUCCCAGUUCGGAUUGGAGUCUGCAACUCGACUCCAUGAAGUUGGAUUCGCUAGUAAUGCCGUAUCAGCUACGACGGCGUGAAUACGUUCCCGGGCCUUGUACACACCGCCCGUCACAUCAUGAAAGCCGUCUGCACCCGAAGUCGCCGAGCUAACCCGCAAGGGAGGCAGGUGCCGAAGGUGUGGGUGGUGAUUGGGAU